rnacentral:rRNA from 1 species
AGAGUUUGAUCAUGGCUCAGAGCGAACGCUGGCGGCAGGCCUAACACAUGCAAGUCGAGCGCCGUAGCAAUACGGAGCGGCAGACGGGAGAGUAACACGUGGGAACGUGCCCUUCAGUUCGGAACAACCCAGGGAAACUUGGGCUAAUACCGGAUACGUCCGUAAGGAGAAAGAUUUAUCGCUGAAGGAUCGGCCCGCGUCUGAUUAGCUAGUUGGUGAGGUAACGGCUCACCAAGGCGACGAUCAGUAGCUGGUCUGAGAGGAUGAUCAGCCUCACUGGGACUGAGACACGGCCCAGACUCCUACGGGAGGCAGCAGUGGGGAAUAUUGGACAAUGGGCGCAAGCCUGAUCCAGCCAUGCCGCGUGGAUGAUGAAGGCCCUAGGGUUGUAAAGUCCUUUCGGCGGGGAAGAUAAUGACGGUACCCGCAGAAGAAGCCCCGGCUAACUUCGUGCCAGCAGCCGCGGUAAUACGAAGGGGGCUAGCGUUGCUCGGAAUCACUGGGCGUAAAGCGCACGUAGGCGGCUUUUUAAGUCAGGGGUGAAAUCCUGGAGCUCAACUCCAGAACUGCCUUUGAUACUGAGAAGCUUGAGUCCGGGAGAGGUGAGUGGAACUGCGAGUGUAGAGGUGAAAUUCGUAGAUAUUCGCAAGAACACCAGUGGCGAAGGCGGCUCACUGGCCCGGUACUGACGCUGAGGUGCGAAAGCGUGGGGAGCAAACAGGAUUAGAUACCCUAGUAGUCC